UCUCAGAACGGUUAGAGCUCCGGCUCACAUGCCAUUACCGCUCGCUGCACAGCCAAGUUAAGGUCAAUAUUGCCCAACGCAGGAAGAAUGCGAUCUGCUAUUAUCCAAAUAGUUUAGCAGAAUGUGACAUGUCUGAAACGAACGCAGGAUUUUUGUCAAAUAUUUGCAGCGCAGAAUAAAAUAUUCCAACAUGCCUCCUAUUGACAUCAUCUUGCUUUCUCAAGGGCUCCAAGCCCAACACAAAACAGUGCGCAAGGGAGCCUCUCAGCCACAAGAAUAAUCUUGGAAGCACAUAAAAUACCAGAGCCCAUUACUUGGGAGACGCUGCCCCUUUUCCAUUCCAGGCAAGAAGGUUAAGGAAGUUGUUUGCAAUGAGAAUGGAAAAAGACUUAAAUCUGCUCUACCGAAUGAACACAACCAUCGGUUAACCCAUGGAACUCACUGCCAGUGGUUAUCUGGGGGCCAGGGGAUUAGUGAGAUUAUGCAAGGUUUAGAUGCUAAUGUAAAUCAUGAGAACAGUAAAUGCUCAGAUUCAGAAACACUGAGAAGGGACAGGCAACAAAUCACCUUGCUGGUAAGAGUUUGGAAAACACUUCCCUCCGGGGCAUACUAAGUCACAGGUGAGUGGGUCUUGACUCCUUCCCCUGAAGGCACAGCUGGGGAGAAGACCACUGUUCUGCCAGGUUCACUAAGGGAUCUUUCUGUUAGGUCCUUGAGAGCAGUAAGGCAGAGCCAUCGUCAGCCCUGUGAGCAUGGAGCCAAGACAAGCGGCACUGAGCUGGGGCGACUCAGCAACAGUCCUCACGCAGAGGCAGGCAGUCCCAGGGCAGAGGGCCUCCAAUCGAUAACCUCAGUUGCAGAAGCCUCACUGUCUUCCUGGAAACCCAAAGGCAAAGCAUUUGGCUGUUUUAAGGGACCAGCAGGAACACCCUAGCUCUGAUCCCCAAAGAAGGCUUGUCUUUUGUACACCAAUAUCCUUUAAAAGGAAUAAAUCUCCGAGCAAUGCUGUCAUAGGAAACAAGUCACCUUCAACAGCAAUCAGCUGGUGAGGAUUGACAGGAGUGUUAGACAGCUCUCUGGGCACCAGUGACCAUUUUCCAGCAGAGAACAGGGGGAGGAAUAACCCAAACUCUUAAGAUCUUAGCCUGUUUUCUGAAAUGGGAAUAUAAAACACAAUGAGGAAAUCAAGCCUGAUUUCCCUGUGCUGCAUUGUACAAUCCAGAGGUUACGAAAGCAAGCCUGCAUGCUUUCAUGCAGAAUACAAUAGCAAUAGGACUAUUUGCAUAUGUCUGAAGUACAAAACUGGCAUGUAUUUUAUCAGCAAAGGCAAAAUAUGUUUGAGUUCGAUUUUGUUCGCAAAGAACGUCCCUUCCUUAAAGAAAUGGCUCUUUCAUCCUUUCAUCAACAACUUUCCUCACAGCCCACUGGGAGUGCUGGUGGGUAAUGAGAACAGCUCGCUGCUGAAAGGUGGGAACUGCACUGCUGUGAGAGAAUUCAAAGGCACUUUGUUUUAGGUAAACUAGAAAUUAGUGACAUUACAAACAGCUGUUGAUUUAGCUGCACUGUCAGGCGAUGCAAGCUCAGACACUCUCCAUCCUAUGGCUCAGUGAAGGGAAGCAAGCAACCAUUCCAGAUUUAGCGCACAGCAAAGGGUGAUGAGGACAGAGAAGCUUCCCCAGAUCACUCUACAAAACUCGCAAGCCCUUCUGGGUCAAGACCCCAGGUGGAAAGGAAGAUGUGAAUGGGGAAACAGUUCCCCGCAAGGGAGAGAGACCAUCAGCCUGCAGUCUCUGGAAGAGAAUACUUGAUCAUCUGCUGAGCUCAACCAAUGACUCUAGUCCUGGCCACUAAGUCUACCAGGCUGGAAACCCAGUUCUGAAGAAAUUCUGAAAAAACAGCGUGUUCUCAGAUGUUCUGAAUGGACAGUUAAGGAUCUGUUUUUUAAUGGUAAACAAUUACAUUCCUCUGUCAUCUGAUACUUUUUAAAUUUUGGGGAGGGGGGAAGCUUUCUGAAUUUUCAAUAGUUCCUUUGUUAAAGCAUCUGUUACUCACAUAAUUGAAAAUAUGUUUGUUCAGUGGUAUGCUUGAGAGUGCAGUUAUUUAAUCUUAAUGAUAAAGCCCUGAGGGCAGAAAAUCUCAAGUAGAAACCUCUUUUUAUUUACCAAAAAAAUAACCAAAACGAAAAACAAAA